rnacentral:rRNA from 1 species
AGCGUACACGGUGGAUGCCCUGGCAGUCAGAGGCGAUGAAGGACGUGCUAAUCUGCGAUAAGCGUCGGUGAGGUGAUAUGAACCGUUAUAACCGGCGAUUUCCGAAUGGGGAAACCCAGUGUGUUUCGACACACUAUCAUUAACUGAAUCCAUAGGUUAAUGAGGCGAACCGGGGGAACUGAAACAUCUAAGUACCCCGAGGAAAAGAAAUCAACCGAGAUUCCCCCAGUAGCGGCGAGCGAACGGGGAGGAGCCCAGAGCCUGAAUCAGUGUGUGUGUUAGUGGAAGCGUCUGGAAAGGCGUGCGAUACAGGGUGACAGCCCCGUACACAAAAAUGCACAUACUGUGAGCUCGAUGAGUAGGGCGGGACACGUGGUAUCCUGUCUGAAUAUGGGGGGACCAUCCUCCAAGGCUAAAUACUCCUGACUGACCGAUAGUGAACCAGUACCGUGAGGGAAAGGCGAAAAGAACCCCGGCGAGGGGAGUGAAAAAGAACCUGAAACCGUGUACGUACAAGCAGUGGGAGCCUCUUAAUGGGGUGACUGCGUACCUUUUGUAUAAUGGGUCAGCGACUUAUAUUCUGUAGCAAGGUUAACCGAAUAGGGGAGCCGAAGGGAAACCGAGUCUUAACUGGGCGUUAAGUUGCAGGGUAUAGACCCGAAACCCGGUGAUCUAGCCAUGGGCAGGUUGAAGGUUGGGUAACACUAACUGGAGGACCGAACCGACUAAUGUUGAAAAAUUAGCGGAUGACUUGUGGCUGGGGGUGAAAGGCCAAUCAAACCGGGAGAUAGCUGGUUCUCCCCGAAAGCUAUUUAGGUAGCGCCUCGUGAAUUCAUCUCCGGGGGUAGAGCACUGUUUCGGCAAGGGGGUCAUCCCGACUUACCAACCCGAUGCAAACUGCGAAUACCGGAGAAUGUUAUCACGGGAGACACACGGCGGGUGCUAACGUCCGUCGUGAAGAGGGAAACAACCCAGACCGCCAGCUAAGGUCCCAAAGUCAUGGUUAAGUGGGAAACGAUGUGGGAAGGCCCAGACAGCCAGGAUGUUGGCUUAGAAGCAGCCAUCAUUUAAAGAAAGCGUAAUAGCUCACUGGUCGAGUCGGCCUGCGCGGAAGAUGUAACGGGGCUAAACCAUGCACCGAAGCUGCGGCAGCGACACUAUGUGUUGUUGGGUAGGGGAGCGUUCUGUAAGCCUGUGAAGGUGUGCUGUGAGGCAUGCUGGAGGUAUCAGAAGUGCGAAUGCUGACAUAAGUAACGAUAAAGCGGGUGAAAAGCCCGCUCGCCGGAAGACCAAGGGUUCCUGUCCAACGUUAAUCGGGGCAGGGUGAGUCGACCCCUAAGGCGAGGCCGAAAGGCGUAGUCGAUGGGAAACAGGUUAAUAUUCCUGUACUUGGUGUUACUGCGAAGGGGGGACGGAGAAGGCUAUGUUGGCCGGGCGACGGUUGUCCCGGUUUAAGCGUGUAGGCUGGUUUUCCAGGCAAAUCCGGAAAACCAAGGCUGAGGCGUGAUGACGAGGCACUACGGUGCUGAAGCGACAAAUGCCCUGCUUCCAGGAAAAGCCUCUAAGCAUCAGGUAACAUCAAAUCGUACCCCAAACCGACACAGGUGGUCAGGUAGAGAAUACCAAGGCGCUUGAGAGAACUCGGGUGAAGGAACUAGGCAAAAUGGUGCCGUAACUUCGGGAGAAGGCACGCUGAUAUGUAGGUGAAGCGACUUGCUCGUGGAGCUGAAAUCAGUCGAAGAUACCAGCUGGCUGCAACUGUUUAUUAAAAACACAGCACUGUGCAAACACGAAAGUGGACGUAUACGGUGUGACGCCUGCCCGGUGCCGGAAGGUUAAUUGAUGGGGUUAGCGGUAACGCGAAGCUCUUGAUCGAAGCCCCGGUAAACGGCGGCCGUAACUAUAACGGUCCUAAGGUAGCGAAAUUCCUUGUCGGGUAAGUUCCGACCUGCACGAAUGGCGUAAUGAUGGCCAGGCUGUCUCCACCCGAGACUCAGUGAAAUUGAACUCGCUGUGAAGAUGCAGUGUACCCGCGGCAAGACGGAAAGACCCCGUGAACCUUUACUAUAGCUUGACACUGAACAUUGAGCCUUGAUGUGUAGGAUAGGUGGGAGGCUUUGAAGUGUGGACGCCAGUCUGCAUGGAGCCGACCUUGAAAUACCACCCUUUAAUGUUUGAUGUUCUAACGUUGGCCCGUAAUCCGGGUUGCGGACAGUGUCUGGUGGGUAGUUUGACUGGGGCGGUCUCCUCCUAAAGAGUAACGGAGGAGCACGAAGGUUGGCUAAUCCUGGUCGGACAUCAGGAGGUUAGUGCAAUGGCAUAAGCCAGCUUGACUGCGAGCGUGACGGCGCGAGCAGGUGCGAAAGCAGGUCAUAGUGAUCCGGUGGUUCUGAAUGGAAGGGCCAUCGCUCAACGGAUAAAAGGUACUCCGGGGAUAACAGGCUGAUACCGCCCAAGAGUUCAUAUCGACGGCGGUGUUUGGCACCUCGAUGUCGGCUCAUCACAUCCUGGGGCUGAAGUAGGUCCCAAGGGUAUGGCUGUUCGCCAUUUAAAGUGGUACGCGAGCUGGGUUUAGAACGUCGUGAGACAGUUCGGUCCCUAUCUGCCGUGGGCGCUGGAGAACUGAGGGGGGCUGCUCCUAGUACGAGAGGACCGGAGUGGACGCAUCACUGGUGUUCGGGUUGUCAUGCCAAUGGCACUGCCCGGUAGCUAAAUGCGGAAGAGAUAAGUGCUGAAAGCAUCUAAGCACGAAACUUGCCCCGAGAUGAGUUCUCCCUGACUCCUUGA